UCCCCUGUAGCUCAAUUGGCAGAGCAGCCGGCUGUUAACCGGCGGGUUACUGGUUCGAGUCCAGUCGGGGGAG
rnacentral:tRNA from 2 species